AGCGAACGCUGGCGGCAGGCUUAACACAUGCAAGUCGAGCGGGCCCUUCGGGGUCAGCGGCGGACGGGUGAGUAACGCGUGGGAACUUGCCUUCUGGUCUGGAAUAACCCUGGGAAACUCGGGCUAAUACGGGAUACGCCCUUUUGGGGAAAGGUUUACUGCAGGAAGAGCGGCCCGCGUCUGAUUAGCUAGUUGGGGGGGUAACGGCCUACCAAGGCGACGAUCAGUAGCUGGUCUGAGAGGAUGAUCAGCCACACUGGGAAUGGGACACGGCCCAGACUCCUACGGGAGGCAGCAGUGGGGAAUAUUGGACAAUGGGCGCAAGCCUGAUCCAGCCAUGCCGCGUGAGUGAUGAAGGCCUUAGGGUUGUAAAGCUCUUUUAUCCGGGACGAUAAUGACGGUACCGGAGGAAUAAGCCCCGGCUAACUUCGUGCCAGCAGCCGCGUAAAAC
rnacentral:rRNA from 1 species